rnacentral:hammerhead_ribozyme from 1 species
GUACUGCUGAAGAGUCCCAAACUAGGAUGAAGCAGCGGUCCAGUAC